rnacentral:rRNA from 1 species
UACGGGGGGGGCAAGCGUUGUUCGGAAUUACUGGGCGUAAAGGGCUCGUAGGCGGCCAACUAAGUCAGACGUGAAAUCCCUCGGCUUAACCGGGGAACUGCGUCUGAUACUGGAUGGCUCGAGUUUGGGAGAGGGAUGCGGAAUUCCAGGUGUAGCGGUGAAAUGCGUAGAUAUCAGGAGGAACACCAAUUGCGAAGGCAGCUCGCUGGGACGUUACUGACGCUGAGACGCGAAAGCGUGGGGAGCAAACAGG